CGGAAGUGUACAAAAGCACCGAAGCAGAAGAAAUAUAAAAGAAAGAAAAGAAGUGUCUAAGACAAAAUUGACUAGUACACAAUAUAUUGUUAGUUACAGAUUAACAGAAAUGGCUUCUUGUUUAGUUGUUACAGCAGUUUUACUUGUGUUAAUCACGACUGUAGCUACGAUUGUGUGUUUUGCAAUGCCAAACUGGUUACAUUUUGUCAACAAACAAGACACCUUAUGCAAUUGUGCAUCAACAAACUGUGACUGCGGUCUAUGGAUCAGUUGUCUUGGCGGACCUGCUACAUCUGGGAUACUAGAUAAUUGCAAAUGGUUCUUUUCAGACAAUUUCCAAAUUGAAAAAGAUCUCCCAGG
rnacentral:lncRNA from 1 species